GCCCAGGUGGUGGAAUGGUAGACACGUUGGACUUAAAAUCCAAUGGCCAUUACGGUCGUGCGGGUUCAAGUCCCGCCCCGGGUA
rnacentral:tRNA from 1 species